ensembl:lncRNA
CACAAUUAUCCUACAUUUUAGGAGGUAAUGUGUGUGUCAUUAUGUAUUAUCAUGUACAGAUGCCAUAGUCCUGAGCUUUAUGAAUGCUGUUAUUGUGUGUAUAUAUUUAUUUAUAUUUAGAUUUCUUCAUACAUUCUUAUAUAGUUCUAUAUUGUGUAUUGUGUAUUUUGUUGUACAGUUAUUUUUUUUCAACUUUAAUUUAUAUAUUUUAUCUUAUUCUUCCCAUUAAAUUUACCCUUCAUUCUAAUUUGUGUUGUACAGUUAUUUCAUUUUUAACCUUAAUUUAUAUUUUAUUCCUUCCUAGUUAAAUUUACCCUUUUUAAUUUUUCAUAUUUAUUUCCUAUCUUAUUCAUAGCCUUUUCCUUUUUUGUUUUCUUUAGGUCACGAGCAGUUGUCCAAGCAUUUCACUACAUAUCGUACUGUGUAUGACUGUGUACGUGACAAAUAAAAUUUGAAUUUGGUUCAGUGACCUGACACAAUUUAUACAGCUGGAAAAAAUAAAGUAUCCUCUCAAGGGGUUGGAGGAGAGAUUCUUUGCCGUUUGGGAUACAUUGCUAAAACAUUUAGAGAAAAUUAAAACCAUAUCCAUCUGAUACUCGCUUGGUAGCUACCCUAUACCCUUACUGUUGAGAUGGCGAUUAAUCUUGUGCAAACUAUUGCCUUUGAUGGCAAAUUUGAUGUACCUCGUUUAAAUUUAUUUUAUUUUUUCAAAUUUUUUCCUUUUCUCUCUGGAUUUGUGUCCAAUAUGCUCUUGGGGUGGGGUACACAUAUAAAAAGGAGCAUUGUGACUUCGUUUACGUGUGUGUGUGUGUGUGUGUGUGUGUGUGUGUGUGUGUGUGUGUGUACACACGUGUGUGUAUGUGUGUGUGUGUGUGUCUGUAUCACACAUGGAACUCUUCGAAGGCCUGGGACAGAAAGAAAAGGUACUAAAUGUACAGCUCUUUUGUGUUGUUUUUUUUGUUUUUGUUUUUUUUGUUGUAAAAUUUAUGCGACAUGUCCAGUAUGUACUGUGAGAGGAGCCAGAGGAAAGUGAUCAAGUGUUGCAUCAGGUGAUCUGACUUUUUAUAAGAAAAGAAAAAAGCAGCCAACAAGAGCUUAGCAUAUUAGGUAAUGCCUGUAACAGCUCAAGGUGACAGCCUAAUGAAGUCGGCUAGCAGAAUGCCAAGAGGGUGCAAAGCUUUUAUUUAUUUAAACUCCGAAGAUUUCAGCCUUUGUCAAAAAAUAAUGAUGUUUUAAGCUCCUUUAAAGAUUAUUCUGAGGCUGUUGGCAACAUUCUUGAAGAAUAGUUGUAUUUUUCACAAAUCUUGCUAUUAGAGCAUCAUCUUUUAUUGAAGCCUUGCUGUACUGCUAGCAUCAGUUCACUGCUCUCAGGUAAAUUAGUCAGAGUUGAUGAGUAGAUCCUCAUAGCAUGUUGACAUUAAGCCUGAAUCAUUUGUCCUAGAAAGCACUCUGAGACAACGUUAAAUGUCAAAGGUUUCAAAUAUACAGAGCAAACACAGGUAGUUUCUCUUUUCAGCAGACCCACAGUAUGUCGACAUUCCCACCCUCCUCACACUCGUGAGGAACUCCUGUCAGAUAUGUGAGUAUCACAGUGAGUGGGGGUUUAUGUCUGGGUCAGAGUGUGAUUCAUAGCUUUUUUUUUUUUACCAGCAAAUUGUUAACAGUGCAGAAAAGUUCGCAGUGAAAAUGUCAGGCUUUGCAGACGUGAACUGAGCAACGUGUUCAGUAAGAUAAAUGUCAUAUCUAAUGCAGUUAUAAAUCGAAGAUGUAUUCUGUAACAGCAAAAUAUUUACUUAAUAUAUGUACGAAUGUACUAUGUAAAGGUUUGGAUAAACACACUUAUUCAAGCGUUUUAGCAGUAAAAUGUGUCAGAAUUGGCACUGCAUAUUUGUGUCUUGUGUAUUUGACUUACAUGCACUUUUGUUUAGCAAAUUUAAAAAAAUGCCCUAAUACAGAGUACGUAAUUUAAAAUAUUAGUAACAAUUGUAUUUUAAAGGGAAGAUGCAGUUUAACAUAGUUCCUAUACAGAAUUAAGACUCAUGUGCUGCA